CAGCUGCCUCUAACCUCCCAGAUGGGAGGAGAGGAGAGAGCUGCGGCAGGUCAGUGCUCUGGGUGCAGGCCCUCCAUACUGGCUGACUCCCAGGUCCCCUGGGGAGUCCAUGAUAUACCCAGCUCUAGGCCCCAGCCAGACCGAUCGGUCUGGAUCUCUGAGGAUUCUCUCAAUAAAAAGCUGCAACAAAACCUCAAUAUGGUCUGGAGCCAACUAUGCAGAAGCGAAGCAGGGAUGUCACAAAUCCUUUUUCCCCUGAGCUGGACGACCCCGGCUGCUCAGGCUCUCCCCUCCAGCUGGGCUUCACAUCUCUUACGACCCACCCAACGUGAAUGUUGCUGUAGCCUCUGUGCAGCCCCGAGGAGGCUAGCUUCACCCGCCUGUACCCGCACGCUCCCUCGGGCCGCCUCCUCGCCAGUUCUGUUUGGAAGACUGCUGGCCUGCUGGGUCCGGCCUUCGACGUGUGGCCUUCCCCUGAGCACAGGAAAGUGCAUACAGGGUGCGUCUGAAGGUUACUUGGCUGCUGUUUUAAUGGAAUAGAAGAACAUGUCUUUGGUCUUUAAAAAUUCAAGAGGCAGGAACCAACUCUGGAAAAGCCCUGUUCUGGUCAGAUUAAGAAGCAGGAGGGACACUUCUCACAGUAAAUCCGAGUCAGGCUUUGAGAGAUUGAAGUCCCCGGGAGCAAGGUUAUGGGGCGGCUCGACAGAUUCAGUGAAGUAAAUCACCAGAACGCGUGGCGUUUUCCAGAUGGAAACCGAGUGGAAGGCCUGACCGGGAGGAGGAACCGGGGGUCUGGCUCAGCAGAGUCUGUGAGCAGCCGGGAAAGUUGCUGACUCCAUCCGUCCUCUCAAAGGCAGAAGUCAGGAGCCGGGGGUCAGAGGGCACCCUGUGCUGAUCGAUGAGGCUCCUGCGGGGCGGGAGUACGUGGUAAUGUCCGUGCACACGAAGGCACUGUUGAGUGUGUGUUCAUUUAUCAGCUUGGUGGAUGGAGAACGUGUACACAACGUGGUAUAGAUAAGUGAGGAAGCACCAGGCCUGGGAGGGGUAAGUGAGGAGGAGGGAGAGGCUGGAGGAGAUCACGGCGGAGACCAUCCUGUCAUCCUCCUGAUUACACAGCGACGAGGUGAUGGCAAGUGCGUAGGAAGCAUUUGUAUGUGCCUGGCACCGUUCUAAGCUCUUCGUGUCCAUUACCUGAUUUCAUCCUUGCGAUGGCCCAAAGGGCUGGGUAUCGUUCCAUCUUCAGUGGAGGCACACAGAGGCAUACAGGGCUGUCACACGUGGGGCCACACAUCACAUGACUCCAGAG
rnacentral:lncRNA from 1 species